CCUACGGGAGGCAGCAGUGAGGAAUAUUGGUCAAUGGACGAGAGUCUGAACCAGCCAAGUAGCGUGAAGGAUGACUGCCCUAUGGGUUGUAAACUUCUUUUAUAAAGGAAUAAAACGAGGCACGUGUGCCUUUUGGCAUGUAAUUUAUGAAUAAGGAUCGGCAAACUACGGGCCAGCAGCCGCGGUAAUACGGAGGAGCCGAGAGUUAUCCGGAUUUAUUGGGUUUAAAGGGAGCGUAGAUGGGUUGUUAAGUCAGUUGUGAAAGUUUGCGGCUAAACCGUAAAAUUGCAAUUGAUACUGGCAGUCUUGAGUACAGUUGAGGUAGGCGGAAUUCGUGGUGUAGCGGUGAAAUGCUUAGAUAUCACGAAGAACCCCGAUUGCGAAGGCAGCUUACUAAACUGUAACUGACAUUGAUGCUCGAAAGUGUGGGUAUCAAACAGGAUUAGAUACCCGUGUAGUC
rnacentral:rRNA from 1 species